UACGUAGGGGGCUAGCGUUGUCCGGAUUUAUUGGGCGUAAAGAGCGUGUAGGCGGCCAGGUAGGUCCGGUGUGAAAACUCGAGGCUUAACCUUGAGAUGUCAUCGGAAACCAUCUGGCUAGAGUCCGGAAGAGGAGAGUGGAAUUCCUGGUGUAGCGGUGAAAUGCGCAGAUAUCAGGAAGAACACCAAUGGCGAAAGCAGCUCUCUGGGACGGUACUGACGCUGAGACGCGAAAGCGUGGGGAGCGAACAGG
rnacentral:rRNA from 1 species